rnacentral:rRNA from 1 species
AUACGGAGGGGGCUAGCGUUGUUCGGAAUUACUGGGCGUAAAGGGCGCGUAGGCGGACUAUCAAGUCAGGGGUGAAAGGCCUGGGCUCAACCCGGGAACUGCCUUUGAAACUGAAAGUCUAGAGUCCGAGAGAGGAUAGCGGAAUUCCCAGUGUAGAGGUGAAAUUCGUAGAUAUUGGGAAGAACACCAGUGGCGAAGGCGGCUAUCUGGCUCGGUACUGACGCUGAGGCGCGAAAGCGUGGGGAGCAAACAGGAUUAGAAACCCCUGUAGUCC